rnacentral:rRNA from 1 species
GUACCAGACUCCUACGGGAGGCAGCAGUGGGGAAUAUUGGGCAAUGGGGGAAACCCUGACCCAGCGACGCCGCGUGAGGGAAGAAGGUUUUCGGAUUGUAAACCUCUGUCCUUGGUGACGAUAAUGACGGUAGCCAAGGAGGAAGCCACGGCUAACUACGUGCCAGCAGCCGCGGUAAUACGUAGGGGGCAAGCGUUAUCCGGAUUUACUGGGUGUAAAGGGAGCGUAGACGGCAGCGCAAGUCUGGAGUGAAAUGCCGGGGCCCAACCCCGGAACUGCUUUGGAAACUGUGCAGCUAGAGUGCGGGAGAGGUAAGCGGAAUUCCUAGUGUAGCGGUGAAAUGCGUAGAUAUUAGGAGGAACACCAGUGGCGAAGGCGGCUUACUGGACCGUAACUGACGUUGAGGCUCGAAAGCGUGGGGAGCAAACAGGAUUAGAUACCCCCGUACAA